rnacentral:rRNA from 1 species
AACGAACGCUGGCGGCAGGCCUAACACAUGCAAGUCGAGGGGUAGAACACUUCGGUGUUUGAGACCGGCGCACGGGUGCGUAACGCGUAUGCAAUCUACCUCGUACAGGGGAAUAGCCCAGAGAAAUUUGGAUUAAUGCCCCAUAGUAUAGAACCUUCGCAUGUUGGUUAUAUUAAAGUUCCAACGGUACAAGAUGAGCAUGCGUCCCAUUAGUUAGUUGGUAAGGUAACGGCUUACCAAGACGAUGAUGGGUAGGGGUCCUGAGAGGGAGAUCCCCCACACUGGUACUGAGACACGGACCAGACUCCUACGGGAGGCAGCAGUGAGGAAUAUUGGUCAAUGGGCGCAAGCCUGAACCAGCCAUGCCGCGUGCAGGAAGACGGUCCUAUGGAUUGUAAACUGCUUUUAUACAGGAAGAAACCCUCCCACGUGUGGGAGAUUGACGGUACUGUGGGAAUAAGGAUCGGCUAACUCCGUGCCAGCAGCCGCGGUAAAAC